rnacentral:rRNA from 1 species
AUUGAACGCUGGCGGCAUGCUUUACACAUGCAAGUCGAACGGCAGCGCGGGCUUCGGCCUGGCGGCGAGUGGCGAACGGGUGAGUAAUGCAUCUGAACGUGCCCAGUAGUGGGGGAUAGCCCGGCGAAAGCCGGAUUAAUACCGCAUACGACCUGAGGGUGCAAGCGGGGGACCGAAAUCCCUCUCGCUAUUUGAGCGGCCAAUGUCGGAUUACCUAGUUGGUGGGGUAAAGGCUUACCAAGGCGACGAUCCGUAGCUGGUCUGAGAGGACGACCAGCCACACUGGAACUGAGACACGGCCAAGACUCCUACGGGAGGCAGCAGUGGGGAAUUUUGGACAAUGGGGGCAACCCUGAUCCAGAAAUGCCGCGUGCGGGAAGAAGGCAUACGGGUUGUAAAACGCUUUUGUUCGGGAAGAAAUCCUCUGGGCUAAUACAACGGGGGGAUGACGGUACCGGAAGAAUAAGCACCGGCUAACUACGUG